rnacentral:rRNA from 1 species
AUGGAGCAGUCAAGCAAGGAAAACGGAUUAAUCCAGCGAGUCCCGGAGGAGUGCCUGACCACAGUCAUCGGCCUGACCUCGCCGGCCGACGCCUGCCGCUCCGCUGUGGUGUCCGCCGGCUUCCGGUCAGCGGCGGACUCGGACGCCGUGUGGGAGCGGUUCCUGCCUCUGGACUGCGAUGCCGUCCUGGAGCGAGCGGUCCACUUCGUGGAUUCCUCCUCCAGGAAGGAGCUCUUCAUGGAUCUCAGCGACGAGCACGUCCUCCUCGACGACGGCAAAAGGAGUUUCGGGCUCCAGCGAUCGAGUGGCGCCAAAUGCUACAUGUUAUCUGUGAGGGAGAUGGCAAUCGCUUGGGUUAAAAUAGAUCUUUACUGGAGAGAGAGGUCGGACCCAGAUUCGAGGUUCUCCAUGGUGGCAGAGCUCAUGUCAGUGUGCUGGCUGAGCAUCUCUGGCCACAUCAGCACCAAGGAGCUCUCUCCGGGCACACACUACGCGGCCUACCUCGUCUUCAAGCUCACUCACGACGCCUCCGGCCUCGCCUCCCCACAGCAGCGAUCGGUCCUCUCCGUAGGCGGCCGGCAGAGCUCGACGCACACGGCGUCCCUCCAUCCUUGCAACCGGACCGAUUCUUCCUGUACCGGCGAAAUGGCUGACGGGGAGCCACAUGACCACGAGCGAGAUGAUGGUGUCGUCGUCAGGUACCCGGGGCCACGGGUGGACGGGUGGUUGGAGCUGGAGAUGGGCGACUUCCACACAGGUGAUAGUGAUGACGAGGCUACGGCUGCAGAAGAUGUUGACAUGAUACUCCAUGAGUGUGAGGAGCUGCAGUGGAAGAAGGGGCUAAUCAUCGAAGGCAUCGAGAUCAGGCCCAAGAAAAUUAAUUGA